CUACCUAUCUCGGCCUUUUGGCUAAGAUCAAGUGUAGUAUCUGUUCUUAGCAACUUAACCGUUGCUAUGAGAUUCAAAGAAUCUCGUCUCAAUUUUUACUAAGGCUUUACCAAUUAAGGAAUUCGGCCUUGCUAAUCAUUUAUUAUUUAUCUAAUAAAUCAAUAACGUUGGAAAGAUAUAUGAAUU
rnacentral:snRNA from 1 species